CAUGGAAAAUAUUUUUUAGUUACUGGUAAGAAAAUGUGAUAAUAUUAGUUGGCAACUAACUCUUUUAAAUUUAACAUAUUUUGGCUGCAUUUGGUAGAUUAGAGAUUAAGAUGUUACAAAGAUUUUGGCUACUAAUGAGUUUUGGCUUAGCCGAAUUCGAGUUAUCUUUGAAAUUGUAAGAUCCGAAUUUGAAUCUGCCUGAUAUUAUCUUGUAGAAAUUGAUCAAUUUUGUUAAAAAAUUGGAGAAUACCAUGCCAAUCACUUGAAAUUUUAUUUGAAGAUC
rnacentral:misc_RNA from 1 species